rnacentral:rRNA from 1 species
UACGUAGGGUGCGUGCGUUUUCCGGAAUUAUUGGGCGUAAAGAGCUCGUAGGCGGUCUGUCGCGUCGAUCGUGAAAACUUGGGGCUUAACCCUGAGCUUGCGGUCGAUACGGGCAUGACUGGAGUUCGGCAGGGGAGACUGGAAUUCCUGGUGUAGCGGUGAAAUGCGCAGAUAUCAGGAGGAACACCGGUGGCGAAGGCGGAUCUCUGGGCCUUACCUGACGCUCAGGUGCGAAAGCUAGGGGAGCGAACAGG